UACGUAGGGUGCAAGCGUUGUCCGGAAUUAUUGGGCGUAAAGAGCUCGUAGGCGGUCUGUCGCGUCUGCUGUGAAAACUCGGGGCUUAACCCCGGGCCUGCAGUGGGUACGGGCAGACUAGAGUGCGGUAGGGGAGCGGGGAAUUCCUGGUGUAGCGGUGAAAUGCGCAGAUAUCAGGAGGAACACCAGUGGCGAAGGCGCCGCUCUGGGCCGUGACUGACGCUGAGGAGCGAAAGCGUGGGUAGCAAACAGG
rnacentral:rRNA from 1 species